CUAGCCCUCCCAACAGCUAGCCCCCAACCUAAGCCCAACAAACAACAUUAAUAAACCCACACCCCCGAUUUAUGAAACAACAAACCAUUUUACCACCUUAGUAUAGGCGAUAGAAAAGGACACCCGGGCGCUAUAGAAAAAAGUACCGUAAGGGAAAGCUGAAAGAGAAAUGAAAAAACCCAGUAAAGAGAAGAAAAGUAGAGAUGGCCCCUCGUACCUUUUGCAUCAUGAUUUAGCUAGUAACACUCAAGCAAAGCGACCUUUAGUUUGAGCCCCCGAAACUGAGCGAGCUACUCCAAGACAGCCUAACAUAGGGCAAACCCGUCUCUGUGGCAAAAGAGUGGGAAGAUCUUUGAGUAGAGGUGACAGACCUACCGAGCCCAGUGAUAGCUGGUUGCCUACAAAAUGAAUAGAAGUUCAGCCUUUAGGCUUUCUCCCCUCUCCCUCGUUUCUACCCCUAGUGACACAGAGCAGCUUAAAGCGUUAUUCAAUGGGGGGACAGCCCCACUGAAAAAAGAUACAACUUUACUAGCUGGCUAAAGAUUAAAGAACAGAAGGCACAUUACCUUAGUGGGCCUAAAAGCAGCCAUCCACACAGAAAGCGUUAAAGCUCAAGUACCCGCCUUUCCAUAAUCCUAAUAAUACUAUCUUAAGCCCCUAGCCUUAAACAGUAGGCCUUUUCAUGCAAACAUGAAAGAGACACUGCUAAUAUGAGUAAUAAGAGGGCUAGACCCUCUCCAGGACACCUGUGUAUAUCAGAACGAACCCUCACUGAAAAUUAACGCCCCCAACAAACGAGGGACAUGAAAUAACCCAGAGUAAACUAGAAAACCACUCAAAAUAAAAGCGUUAACCCCACACAGGAGUGUCAUAUGGAAAGACUUAAAGGAAAAGAAGGAACUCGGCAAACACUGGCCUCGCCUGUUUACCAAAAACAUCGCCUCUUGCAAACUCACCAUAUAAGAGGUCCCGCCUGCCCUGUGACUAACAAGUUUAACGGCCGCGGUAUUUUGACCGUGCGAAGGUAGCGUAAUCACUUGUCUUUUAAAUGAAGACCUGUAUGAAUGGCAUAACGAGGGCUAAGCUGUCUCCUUUUCCUGGUCAAUGAAAUUAAUCUUCCCGUGCAGAAGCGGGAAUAACAGCAUAAGACGAGAAGACCCUAUGGAGCUUUAGACAAAAGGAAGCCCAUGUAAAAACACCUAGGUCAAUAGAAUUAACCAACUGGUGUCUCCCCUCUUGUCUUUGGUUGGGGCGACCGCGGGGGAACAAAAAUCCCCCACAUGGAACAGGAGCUUACUCCUCAAAACCAGAGCCACAGCUCUAGUAAACAGAAUAUCUGACCUACAAGAUCCGGCAAGGCCGAUCAAUGGACCCAGUUACCCUAGGGAUAACAGCGCAAUCCCCUUUUAGAGCCCAUAUCGACAAGGGGGUUUACGACCUCGAUGUUGGAUCAGGACAUCCUAAUGGUGCAGCCGCUAUUAAGGGUUCGUUUGUUCAACGAUUAAAGUCCUACGUGAUCUGAGUUCAGACCGGAGAAAUCCAGGUCAGUUUCUAUCUAUGAGUGCUCUUUUCUAGUACGAAAGGACCGAAAAGAAGAGGCCCAUGCUAAAGGCAAGCCUCCCCCUUACCCGCUGAAACUAACUAAAGCAGGUAAAAGGGCGCACAACCCUGCCUGAGAUUAAGGCAA
rnacentral:rRNA from 1 species